GGGCUCACACAAGCGGUGGAUGAUGUGGCUUAAUUCGAGGCAACGCGAAGAACCUUAUCCUGGACUUGACAUGCUUGGAUUAACCCUAUGAAAGUAGGGCCACGCCUUCGGUGGAACUUGCACAGGUGCUGCAUGGCUGUCGUCAGCUCGUGUCGUGAGACGUCGCGUUAAGUCGCUUAACGAGCGCAACCCUUGUCCUUAGUUGCCAGCACGUAAUGUGGGACUCUAAGGAGACCGCCGGUGUCAAACCGGAGGAAGGCGGGGACGACGUCAAGUCAUCAUGGCCUUUAUGUCCAGGGCUGCACACGUCAUACAAUGCAACAUACAAAGGGCAGCUAACCGCGAGGGGCGCU
rnacentral:rRNA from 1 species